AAAAAUAUUUGGUCUCGUGCCAAAUUUACACCUGUGUGCACCAUUGUCUGUAUUUGGUAGCUCGAGCGCGCUCCGGAAGCUCAACACUUCCAUUAGGGGCGCCUACCCUUGCGGGUCACAUCCCGCUUGGGUUGGGCUACCGCCUUUUUUUUGAAAAACCUUUUUGUUCUGUCUUUUUGUCUGAACGAAGAGUUGAUCUUAAUUGAUUAGUGAUUUGAAAA
rnacentral:misc_RNA from 1 species